AUUGAACGCUGGCGGCAGGCUUAACACAUGCAAGUCGAGCGGAGAUGAGGUGCUUGCACCUUAUCUUAGCGGCGGACGGGUGAGUAAUGCUUAGGAAUCUGCCUAUUAGUGGGGGACAACAUUCCGAAAGGAAUGCUAUACCGCAUACGUCCUACGGGAGAAAGCAGGGGAUCUUCGGACCUUGCGCUAAUAGAUGAGCCUAAGUCGGAUUAGCUAGUUGGUGGGGUAAAGGCCUACCAAGGCGACGAUCUGUAGCGGGUCUGAGAGGAUGAUCCGCCACACUGGGACUGAGACACGGCCCAGACUCCUACGGGAGGCAGCAGUGGGGAAUAUUGGACAAUGGGGGGAACCCUGAUCCAGCCAUGCCGCGUGUGUGAAGAAGGCCUUAUGGUUGUAAAGCACUUUAAGCGAGGAGGAGGCUACUGAGACUAAUACUCUUGGAUAGUGGACGUUACUCGCAGAAUAAGCACCGGCUAACUCUGUGCCAGCCGCCGCAGUAAUAC
rnacentral:rRNA from 1 species